UUGAUCACAGCAGAACGGAAGAUUACUGCUUGUGGGGAAGUGCAUUUUAGUGUUGCGCAAAGGUUGUGCAGACUCAAAAAGAGCGGAACAUCAGACAAUUCCUCAGAUAUUGUCGUCAAUACUGCAGAGAUGUGAUCAUAAGCAGGAUACCGGUCCUUCAUGCAUUUUACACCUCCUAGUAUGGAAAUCACCCAUUCUUGAUCAUGAAUGGGAGCAGACCAUAUAGGUCCGCCCAUGUUAAAUUUCUUCCCACAGUGACUGCAUUCUUGAGGAACAGCAGGACCAAACCCAGGCAGAUACCUUACACUG
rnacentral:misc_RNA from 1 species